GGUUCUGGCUCAGUGGUAGAGCACGUGCUUUGAAUGUAGAUGAUGCCAAGUUCAGUCCCUGGCAUCUCCA